AAAAAAUCAACAUCGUGACUGAUUCCCCAAAAAAUUGAGCAGCAAGCAAUCUGGAUUCGCCCUCAAACCCUAACCCAAGACGGCAUUGGUUUUCCCUCCUUUCCCCAUAAAUCCCACCGCCAUCUCCUCCUCCUCCGAUCCCAAUCCAUCUUCCGAACCCUAAUUUCAACGAUCCACAAGUGAAGCAUUUCAGUGAUUAGUUUGCAUACUCAAUCAUGAAUCCGAUCGUAGUCGGUAUAUUCGUCCCGCUUCUGUUUUCAUUCAUGUUUCGCUCAAGAUCG
rnacentral:misc_RNA from 1 species